rnacentral:rRNA from 1 species
UACGGGGGGGGGCAAGCGUUGUUCGGAAUUACUGGGCGUAAAGGGCUCGUAGGUGGCCGACUAAGUCAGACGUGAAAUCCCUCAGCUUAACUGGGGAACUGCGUCUGAUACUGGAUGGCUUGAGUUUGGGAGAGGGAUGCGGAAUUCCAGGUGUAGCGGUGAAAUGCGUAGAUAUCUGGAGGAACACCGGUGGCGAAGGCGGCAUCCUGGACCAACACUGACACUGAGGAGCGAAAGCCAGGGGAGCAAACGGG